UACGAACCGAGCGAACGUUAUUCGGAAUCACUGGGCUUAAAGGGCGCGUAGGCGGGCCGCCAAGUCAGGGGUGAAAGCCCCAGCUCAACUGGGGAAGUGCCUUUGAUACUGGCGGUCUCGAGGGGGAUAGGGGCGUGCGGAACUUCCGGUGGAGCGGUGAAAUGCGUAGAUAUCGGAAGGAACACCGGUGGCGAAAGCGGCGCGCUGGAUCCCUUCUGACGCUGAGGCGCGAAAGCCAGGGGAGCGAACGGG
rnacentral:rRNA from 1 species